rnacentral:rRNA from 1 species
UAGCUUGCUGUGUAAGUCCAUUGGGAAAUCGACCAGCUCAACUGGUCGGCGUCCGGUGGAAACUACACAGCUUGGGGCCGAGAGACUCAACGGGUACGUCCGGGGUAGGAGUGAAAUCCUGUAAUCCUGGACGGACCACCAAUGGGGAAACCACGUUGAGAGACCGGACCCGACAGUGAGGGACGAAAGCCAGGGUCUCGAACCGGAUUAGAUACCCGGGUAGUCCUGGCUGUAAACAAUGCUCGCUAGGUAUGUCACGCGCCAUGAGCACGUGAUGUGCCGUAGUGAAGACGAUAAGCGAGCCGCCUGGGAAGUACGUCCGCAAGGAUGAAACUUAAAGGAAUUGGCGGGGGAGCACCACAACCGGAGGAGCCUGCGGUUUAAUUGGACUCAACGCCGGACAUCUCACCGGUCCCGACAGUAGUAAUGACGGUCAGGUUGACGACUUUACUCGACGCUACUGAGAGGAGGUGCAUGGCCGCCGUCAGCUCGUACCGUGAGGCGUCCUGUUAAGUCAGGCAACGAGCGAGACCCGCACUUCUAGUUGCCAGCAAUACCCUUGAGGUAGUUGGGUACACUAGGAGGACUGCCAUUGCUAAAAUGGAGGAAGGAACGGGCAACGGUAGGUCAGUAUGCCCCGAAUGAGCUGGGCUACACGCGGGCUACAAUGGUCAGGACAAAGGGUUCCUACUCCGAAAGGAGACGGUAAUCUCAGAAACCUGAUCGUAGUUCGGAUUGUGGGCUGCAACUCGCCCACAUGAAG